GAUGAACGCUGGCGGCGUGCCUAAUACAUGCAAGUCGAGCGAACAGACGAGGAGCUUGCUCCUCUGACGUUAGCGGCGGACGGGUGAGUAACACGUGGAUAACCUACCUAUAAGACUGGGAUAACUUCGGGAAACCGGAGCUAAUACCGGAUAAUAUAUUGAACUGCAUGGUUCAAUAGUGAAAGACGGUUUUGCUGUCACUUAUAGAUGAAUCCGCGCCGCAUUAGCUAGUUGGUAAGGUAACGGCUUACCAAGGCAACGAUGCUUAGCCGACCUGGGAGGGUGAUCGGCCACACUGGAACUGGACCACGGUCCAGAUUCCUACGGGGGGCAGCAGUGGGGAAUCUUCGGCAAUGGGCGAAAGCUGGACGGAGCAACGCCGCGUGAGGGAUGAAGGUCUUCGGAUCGUAAAACUCUGUUAUUAGGGAAGAACAAAUGUGUAAGUAACUAUGCACGUCUUGACGGUACCUAAUCAGAAAGCCACGGCUAACUACGUG
rnacentral:rRNA from 1 species